UGGCUCAGUGGUUAAGAGCACUGGUUGCUCUUCCAGAGGACCUGGGUUCAAUUCCCAG
rfam:Cricetulus griseus cell line CHO-K1, whole genome shotgun sequence.